UGCCAGCCGCCGCGGUAAUACGGAGGGGGUUAGCGUUGUUCGGAAUUACUGGGCGUAAAGCGCACGUAGGCGGACUGGAAAGUUGGGGGUGAAAUCCCGGGGCUCAACCCCGGAACUGCCUCUGAUACUGGUAGUCUUGAGUUCGAGAGAGGUGAGUGGAAUUCCGAGUGUAGAGGUGAAAUUCGUAGAUAUUCGGAGGAACACCAGUGGCGAAGGCGGCUCACUGGCUCGAUACUGACGCUGAGGUGCGAAAGCGUGGGGAGCAAACAGGAUUAGAUA
rnacentral:rRNA from 1 species